GUGGGGAAUAUUGGACAAUGGGCGCAAGCCUGAUCCAGCCAUACCGCGUGGGUGAAGAAGGCCUUCGGGUUGUAAAGCCCUUUUGUUGGGAAAGAAAUCCUGUCGAUUAAUACUCGGUGGGGAUGACGGUACCCAAAGAAUAAGCACCGGCUAACUUCGUGCCAGCAGCCGCGGUAAUACGAAGGGUGCAAGCGUUACUCGGAAUUACUGGGCGUAAAGCGUGCGUAGGUGGUGGUUUAAGUCUGCUGUGAAAGCCCUGGGAUCAACCUGGGAAUUGCAGUGGAUACUGGAUCACUAGCGUGUGGUAGAGGGAUGCGGAAGUUCUGGUGUAGCAGUGAUAUGCGUAGAGAUCAGAAGGAACAUACGUGGCGAAGGCGGCAUCCUGGGCCAACACUGACACUGGGGCACGAAAGCGUGGGGAGCAAACAGGAUUAGAUACCCUUGUAGUCC
rnacentral:rRNA from 1 species